UCUGCUAAUUGGCUGUAUGGUCAAGCUUUUGCCUAUUUGAUGUGGCAGCUCCAGAUUUGACCUUCAUUUUUCUUUGUUCGUCCGUUUUUACAUAGGGAAGAUGGGAUGGUGUAGUGAAUUUUUUUUAGAAGAAUAUUGUAGUUUGUAAAAGAAAUUAGAGAAAUGGGUAGAUUGGAAAAUACUUGGGGGUGUUUGCCCCCUCAGCCCACUCCACGUUUGACCUGAUGCUUAUCUUAAUCCUAGGAUUAGGAUUAUGUAAUCCUAUGAUUACAUAAUCCUUCCCAAUCCUAUUCGCUGUUGUUGCGCAUUCCUUCUCACUCCUUCGUCACUUUCCCUUCUCUCUUUCCCUCUUUCCCUCCUUUCCUUAUUCAAACCCCUUUUCUCUACUUUCUCCUUCCAUCUCUGUUAGCCGUGAGAAGCCAAAGCGAGGGAGGGAAUCAAAGAAAUGGAGAAGUACUUUGGAGCUUACAAAGACGACCUUGGAGUUCCACAUCACUGUAAGGGCACAGCGAGGGGCAGACCGACGAGAGGCAGGAAGGACGCGUGAAGGCCAUAUGGACGUGUCUGAUUUUCUUUUCGCUUCCGCUGAUGUAUUUUGUCAGAAUAUCUGUUUUGGUGCUUUUCUGUUGAUAACUUACAAAUUUAUUUGAAACCUUUGUGAAUUUUGGAUUUGAUGACUUGAGAUUUUAUUCAAAACUUUUGUAACUGUGAUUUGAAACAGGGCCCGAUACCGUUUUGUUGUUAUA